GUCUACGGCCAUACCACCCUGAAUGCACCCGAUCUCAUCUGAUCUCGGAAGCUAAGCAGGGUCGGGCCUGGUAGAUACUUUGACAGAACAUUAGUACUAAUAUGACAUUACCGUAAGUG
rnacentral:rRNA from 1 species